AGAGUUUGAUCAUGGCUCAGAAUCAACGCUGGCGGCGUGCCUAACACAUGCAAGUCGAACGCGAAAGUGGAGCAAUCCAUGAGUAGAGUGGCAAACGGGUGAGUAACGCGUGGGCAACCUACCUUCGAGUGGGGGAUAACCUUCCGAAAGGAGGGCUAAUACCGCAUGACAUCCCGUGUUUGGAUACACGGACAUCAAAGCCGGGGAUCGCAAGACCUGGCGCUUGGAGAGGGGCCCGCGUCCGAUUAGCUAGUUGGUGAGGUAACGGCUCACCAAGGCUCCGAUCGGUAUCCGGCCUGAGAGGGCGGACGGACACACUGGAACUGAGACACGGUCCAGACUCCUACGGGAGGCAGCAGUGGGGAAUUGUUCGCAAUGGGCGCAAGCCUGACGACGCAACGCCGCGUGGAGGAUGAAGACUUUCGGGUCGUAAACUCCUUUCGACCGAGAUGAAUUCCCGCCGACCUAACACGUCGGCGGGGUGACAGUAUCGAGGGAAGAAGCCCCGGCUAACUCCGUGCCAGCAGCCGCGGUAAUACGGGGGGGGCAAGCGUUGUUCGGAAUUACUGGGCGUAAAGGGUCUGUAGGUGGCUUGCUAAGUCAGACGUGAAAUCCCUCAGCUUAACUGGGGAACUGCGUCUGAGACUGGCGAGCUUGAGUGCAGGAGAGGAACGCGGAAUUCCAGGUGUAGCGGUGAAAUGCGUAGAUAUCUGGAGGAACACCGGUGGCGAAGGCGGCGUUCUGGACUGCAACUGACACUGAGAGACGAAAGCCAGGGGAGCAAACGGGAUUAGAUACCCCGGUAGUCCUGGCCCUAAACGAUGAAUGCUUGGUGUGGCGGGUAUCGAUCCCUGCCGUGCCGAAGUUAACGCGUUAAGCAUUCCGCCU
rnacentral:rRNA from 1 species